CAUUGUUUAGCUCCACCUACGUACGCGAUGAUGACAACAAGGACGAAUAUUCCAGUUUUGCCAUCUGCCAAUGCCUCAUCAGUUCCUAGUGGAAGCAAGCAGAAAAGGAAAAGAUUAUCCACGCGAGAUUUCAUUGGCAUUGUCAUGACAGGAACGUCCAUAUUGAUAAUAGUUGUUUUCCUUUGUUGCACUCAAGUCAUGCGGUUGUUAUAGAAGAUCUAACAGAUGUCGCAACCGGUAAAGCUCUGUGGAGCUUCUUAGCACUU